rnacentral:rRNA from 1 species
AGAGUUUGAUCCUGGCUCAGAAUCAACGCUGGCGGCAUGCCUAACACAUGCAAGUCGAACGCGAAAGUGGCUUCGGCCGCGAGUAGAGUGGCAAACGGGUGAGUAACACGUGGGUGACCUGCCUUCGAGUGGGGGAUAACGUCUCGAAAGGGACGCUAAUACCGCAUAACAUCCUGCCUUUGAACAGGCGGAGAUCAAAGCCGGGGACCGCAAGGCCUGGCGCUUGAAGAGGGGCCCGCGCCGGACUAGCUAGUUGGUGAGGUAACGGCCCACCAAGGCGACGAUCCGUAGCCGGCCUGAGAGGGCACACGGCCACACUGGCACUGAAACACGGGCCAGACUCCUACGGGAGGCAGCAGUGGGGAAUUUUGGACAAUGGGGGCAACCCUGAUCCAGCAAUGCCGCGUGAGUGAAGAAGGCCUUCGGGUUGUAAAGCUCUUUUGUCAGGGAAGAAAAGGCUGUGGCUAAUAUCCACAGCUGCUGACGGUACCUGAAGAAUAAGCACCGGCUAACUACGUGCCAGCAGCCGCGGUAAUACGUAGGGUGCGAGCGUUAAUCGGAAUUACUGGGCGUAAAGCGUGCGCAGGCGGUUUUGUAAGCCAGAUGUGAAAUCCCCGGGCUUAACCUGGGAAUGGCAUUUGGGACUGCAAGGCUUGAGUGCGGCAGAGGAGACUAGAAUUCCUGGUGUAGCAGUGAAAUGCGUAGAUAUCAGGAGGAAUACCGAUGGCGAAAGCAGGUCUCUGGGCUGACACUGACGCUCAUGCACGAAAGCGUGGGGAGCAAACAGGAUUAGAUACCCUGGUAG